CGCGUGCCCUCAGGGGCGGCUGAGGGGGAGCCGCAGCAGCAGCGGCUGCGAUGGUCGGGGCUCUGCAGCACCGCGGCCGCGCCGGUGCCUCCCUCGGCUCCGGGUUGGCUCCGCGGCCACAGAGGAAGGAGGUGUGACGAGGAACGACCUGGCUCUGCCCCGGCACAGGCGCUUCGGAAGGUGUCGCUUGCGAAAGCUGUCAGCGCUUCCCGUAGCGUGCAGCGGCGAGAGGAGAAAGGCUGCGGUGCGAUGGGGCCCUCGGCGGAACAGCCCUAGUGGGAGGGUGAGAGUCGCAGCACCCUCAAAGUGCACAGGGAACAGCCCCCUCAGUCCCCUCGGAGCUUCACAGGGGAUCAGCCCUCAGCCCCCUCAAACGUCGCAGGGAACAGUCCCUCAAUCCCCUCGAUCUUCUCAGGGGAUCAGCCCUCAGCCCCCUCAAACCGCCAGGGAACGGCCCCUCAGUCCCCUCGGAUCCUCACAGGGGAUCAGCCCCUCAGCCCCCCUAAACCUCACAGGAAUCAUCCCCUCGCUGCCCUCAAACCACACAGGGAAUCAGCUUCUCAACCCCCCAAAAAUAAUAGGGGAUCGGCCCCUCAAAGCUCUCAGGGGGAGCAGCCCCUCAGCCCCCUCAAACCUCUCAGGGCACGGUGGUUCUCCUCAAAAAGUCAUCUAAGUCGCAGGGCUGCAGGCAUGGGGUGACAGUAGGAGGUUCCUGUUCCAUUAAAAUGUCUUUUCACUGUCUGAAACAGAAACACGGGCUGAAUUGUAAAAGGAUCAAAACCACCCCUGCCCUUUGCUGUUCUCCAGCAUGUUUGCUUUUAGUAUUCAGCCCAGGACUGACACAGAAUGGGAGGAUUUCCCAAAUGGCUUUGUUACAACAUUAAGCCUGGUAACCUACCCUGGGUCACUCCCGAGCAGAAAAUAAGGAGUUUGAAAGAAAACACUGAUUUCUAAGGGCAGCUUGUUCCAAGGAUUGUUCCUGCCCUGAAACAAAGCCUGUGAAAACACCAGUUGCGAGUCAUUCCCUCAGUUACUGUUUCUGCACGGAGUGAUCUUGCCACAUGGAGCUGCAGAAAGGUCAAGCCGGAGUUGCUUUCUCGCUGAUCUGAACCCUCGCUGCCUGUCCUUGUGUUCCAGAGGAUUCCCAAACCCAAACAUGAGAGAUCACUGCUGAACAUGCAGCUCUGACAACAUUUUGCUUUGCCACUCUUAUGGAUUGAUUGUGCACAUGCAGCAAGGCUGCAAGUUGAAGAAGUGUGGAGGAAGCUGAUAAUGCUCUUUCAGUUCCUGAGGACUUCAGGCAGCUGUAAAAGUGAUAGGACAUUGGCAAACACCAACACUCAGCUCACAAACAGCUGGCUGAGAAGUUGAAGACAAACAUCUGGAGGACUAAAAUAGUGCAGGAAUACCUGAAAAUACUAUUGAGAAGGAGCACCAGCA